AUCCAGGACUUUGGGACAUUUGAUCCAAGAUAUAAUUGACCAAAAUGUAAACUGUCUAAAAAGCUUACUGCUUUUUCUUAUUAUGGUCCAGUUUUCUUUCUUAGAAACAUUUAUCUUCUCUGAACAUACACACAGUUUUCCAGCAUUAGAUCCCAGUUUUCAGUUCCAAAGAUCUGGACUGGCCCACAGCCAUAGUGGGUAUUCCCACAGUUAGCAUUAUCCUUGCUUAUUGUUUAGAGAUAUUUUCAAUCCUUAAUCCUUUCCUAAAUCCAUUGCCAUGGGGUAUUCCCAUUAUGAUGCCAAAUCACCUAAGGCAGGGUCUGCCACUGAAGAAAAGUGAGCGGUGUUAUGCUGUAAAGUUGGCAAGAGGCUGGAAGCUGCAGAACAGGGGCCAGAAAGAGUGUCUUGGCUUGGGAUGGGUUUGGAGAGGAAGCUGAGAGCUCCCUGAUUCAUCGAGAACCAAUGUGCCACUGAUAUGCCAAUCAGCCAUGAUGAGCAUCUUUUAGGGGUGGCAUCUUCCACUCCCUGUUGUGUUGCUGUUGGCAUGUUUAGAGGAAGAUAAAUGCAGUCUUUACCCUUGAAAUGCCGAUGGCCCUUGCCAUAGAGCAUAUAACAAACAAAUCCCAAAACUCUGACUUUGAACUAAGUUGGAUUAUGGUUCUUGGUUCAAUAAUACAGUGGUUUAUGUUUCUAGGUCUUUUCACAUACUAGUUGAAAGUUAGAUCUGCAUUCUAAUAUAAGAACUGAACUAUGUCUUUCUGUUUCUUUAUUUUCUGAGCAUAGUUAUUGUGACUACACUGUAUUGACUUUACUUAUAUACAACCAGCAAAAAUACCUUAGUUAACUUUAAACAUGUAAGCUGAAAUAGCAGAGCAGUACAGCUGGAGAGACAGCCCACACUGUGUUCGCAGGGGCUCAGUUAGUGUCACACCUAUAGGUUCAUGGUGUUUGAGAUAUUCCAAGUGUCUGAGAUACCUAUGGCUUCACAGAUAUGAUUCAGAGCCCAUGACAGAUCUGUGUCUGCUGGAAUAGCAACUGGAGGCCAGGCAGGGUACUCUGGAACAUCUCAGGAGUCUCUAGGUGCCAAGGUGUCGGGACGUGAAUUUUGCUCUGUGGCUUGAACUCAUGUGACUGUAGGAGAAAUCCUGGAAUAUGCCAGAAUUUGUCUGGCUGACAUCAUCUUCCUUGGCUCCCAUCAGCUUAGGAUGCCUACAGAAAGGCUCAGUUUCCAGACCUAAAGGAGAUCCAGUCAGAUGGAGCAUGCAGAGACAAGACAGGCACUGAGAACCCCAGAUGCUGGCCUUGGAUUUUGAUGUAUUGGAAUGUCUUCUCAUUUCUCAGCCUAGAUUCCCAUUACAGAGCUACAAAAUGUACCGUCCCUGAAGUUAUUUGGGUAAAUGUUUUUUGUUUGUUUUGUCUUGUUUCUUCAUGGGAAGAGGAUGGCCUUUGUGGAGAUUCAAUACACUCAGGAAACUGAAGAAGCAUGGAAUCUGAACCAUGAAUACCUGGGCAUUGUCUUCUUUUUUAUUUUAUUUUAUUUUUUUUUUUCUCUUAUGGAAUAUAAACGGCAAUAUUUUCAAGAGGGAGGGGAGAAAAGGGAGAGCAAAUUUUUGUCACUAAGUCAAUCAAAAAAUGUAUUUGUCACUUCUAUACCUUUCUCUCCCUUCCUCUCUUCCUUCCAAAACAACUGGACCUUUCUUUUUGUGUUUAUUGCAUUUGUAAAAAAAACAUCUGUAAGAGAGUAAGGGAGAAAAGAAACUAGAACAACUGUGUAAAUCUCAUAAGUGCAAGGAAUACUCUUGGCCUUUGGUGAAAAGUGGCAAAAAUAGAAUAUCCAUCAAUCAGCAACAAAUGCAAAAUUGUUCAUAUGUUUCUCAGCUUUGGAAAACACCACCUUUAAUAUGCGUGAUGUAAAAGGAAAAACAAAACAACAACAACAACAACAAAAAACAAAGAUGUAUGAAAUGUAUGCUAAAAUGGAUCCCUUCUCUGUUCUCCACAAGGAUAUCUUCCCAUUUCAACAGUCUGGCUUAUGAAAUGAGUAAAAUGUCUUUCCCAAUACAAACUGGAAAUUGUUCUGAUAUACAUGUCUCAGUCCUGCAGCCCUGUAGCUUCGUGCAUUAAAAUAUGGGAUUCUUUGUCUCCUG